CAAACGACUCUCGGCAAUGGAUAUCUCGGCUCUUGCAUCGAUAAAGAACGUAGUGAAAUGCGAUACUUGGUGUGAAUUGCAGAAUCUCGUGAACCAUUGAGUCUUUGAACGCAAGUUGUGCCCGAGGCCUUGUGGCCGAGGGCACGCCUGCUUGGGUGUCAUGG
rnacentral:rRNA from 1 species